AGAGUUUGAUCAUGGCUCAGAUUGAACGCUGGCGGCAGGCCUAACACAUGCAAGUCGAGCGGCAGCACAGAGGAACUUGUUCCUUGGGUGGCGAGCGGCGGACGGGUGAGUAAUGCCUGGGAAAUUGCCCGGUAGAGGGGGGAUAACCAUUGGAAACGAUGGCUAAUACCGCAUAACCUCGCAAGAGCAAAGCAGGGGACCUUCG
rnacentral:rRNA from 1 species